rnacentral:rRNA from 1 species
CCUACGGGAGGCAGCAGUGGGGAAUAUUGCACAAUGGGGGAAACCCUGAUGCAGCGACGCCGCGUGAGCGAUGAAGUUUUUCGGUAUGUAAAGCUCUAUCAGCAGGGAAGAAAAUUACCGUACCUGACUAAUACUCCACGGCUAACUCCGUGCCAGCAGCCGCGGUCAUACGUAGGGGGCAAGCGUUAUCCGGAUUUACUGGGUGUAAAGGGAGCGUAGACGGCGAUGCAAGCCAGGUGUGAAAGCCCGGGGUUCAACCCCGGGACUGCCUUUGGAACUGGAGAGCUGGAGUGUCGGAGAGGCAGGUGGAAUUCCUAGUGUAGCGGUGAAAUGCGUAGAUAUUGGGAGGAACACCAGUGGCGAAGGCGGCCUGCUGGACGAUGACUGACGCUGAGGCUCGAAAGCGUGGGGAGCAAACAGGAUUAGAUACCCCAGUAGUC